rnacentral:lncRNA from 1 species
CUGUUUCCUCAUUUGUAUGCACUAGCGUUAGGUGAGUGUCCAGCCUCCAUGUGUGGCAACACCGGCUUUCCUAUCCGAUUCCCUUUCGGGCUACAAGGCUAUCAACCGAAGAACUGUUCUUACCCAGGUUUCGACCUGACCUGCAACACACAGGGGACAACAGUCAUUAGUCUUCCAAACUCAGGAGAGUUUUUUGUUCGAGCAAUCGAUUAUGUGACACAGGAGAUUAAACUCUAUGAACCUAGUGGUUGCCUUCCCAGAAGGCUUCUGACCCUCGACCUGAAAGGCUCUCCUUUUGUUGCUUCUUUUUACCAGAACUACACCUUCC